UUACCACGGGGACGCUUGGGGCGGCCGCCCUCCUCCGGCCCUCUCUGGUUUGCUCGGCGUUAGCUGCAUUGCGCUCCGCCUGAGGCUUCGUUGGGAGGGCCGGGGCCGUGCCGGGUAGUUUGUGCCGAUUUGUGUCGAACGCCUCGAGAAAGGUCGUGAGUCUGGGAGGCCGCCUCAGCGAGUCCCGCGCGGCCGGCUGCGUACACAGCGCGUUUAUUCUGAAGGCUGUCACUGCGUUUGUAUGGAUUUGGAAGUGAGAGGAAUUGCUGCAUCCCCUCGAAGGCAGACUCAGCUGUUGUCGAGAGAGAAGAAAUGUCAGGGUUGGAGACCAGAUACACGUGCUGCUCGGGGUCCUCGCCCCCCAGAG